UUUAUAUACAAAUUGACAUGGAGUCCAUCCCAGGCAGCUUAUGAUCUAGGCUUAGCACUAAAGGAUGCUGACUGUGGCACGGAUGGAAAUGGCUGGAAAACACAUAGGACCCCACCCUCAGAAGAGAUGCUGAUUGCCAUGAACCUGCUGUGCUAAUCCCCACCCAUAUUUCUUCCCUUUUGACCCCAGCUGCAGCAGGUAUCAAACAACCUUGCAGCACACCUGCAGCCAGGAAGAGCCCUGGGGAGCAGGAACGGUGGGCUAGACCAUUCUGAGGUUGCCUCUGCAGCUCACACAUGUGUGUCCUGUCCCAACAUCAACCCAACCUGUUGCCUCCUCCUCAAGGCUCAGCUUGAACUAAUCCACCAGUAAUUCCUUAUAUACAUCUCCUUGGAGAGAGGAUUUUGUAGGCUCUGUAAAAGCCAUGAAAGUAGCUCCAGCCUCCAGCUUCUUGGCACAGGGGUUGUCCUUGGGAGUGCAGGAAAUGUGCAGCCACCAUGGAAAGCCAAUUCCCUGCCUACUGAACUUCCUCUGCUGGAUUUAUGGCUGAAGCUGCCCAGACUGCUGCUGCUCUACCAGUACCUUCUAUGAUCAUGGAGAGGAAUUAUGGACAAGCAUGCUUCGUUUGGAGCACAGGCACUGUACUGCUGAUCUUUGAGACAAGCAUCACCUACUGCUAUGAGUGCUGAACCUGACACCAGUGACCUUGUCUGCAAAGGUUUCUGAAAUUUCCAAACGUCUCAUAGAAGUUGGUGCAGAAGUUUCCCCCAAGUUACCAUGACCCAUAGGAGUGGUGAACUUCAGCAGAAAAGUAAAGAAUACAGAUGGCACUGUCUGCCUUGCUUAUACUGUUGCAGAUAAUUUUGAUAAAGGCUGCGAACCAGAGCACAAAGUCUGAAAAAAGUACCACAAGUUUGGAGUAUCUUCUUUGGACUUUAGUUCUUGUAUGAAUCAAGCCUUCAGACUGGACAUGUCCUGGACUGCCACAUGGCCUGGAUGUGAAGGCAGUAGAGGAAAUGGAAAGCAAAUGGGAUUCUGGAGAAAGAGGUCAAAUUUAUCCUCAGUGAUGCUGGAGUAACCCAAAAUGGAGGAUUCUUCACGUCCAAAUGCAUGAGAGAGACAGUGACUGGCUGCCUGGUUGUGCUUGCUCUGUCUGGCAGUGACUGGAGCAUGCUGCAUCCUCCACUUGCCUCCUGCUCAUGGUAAAAGUUUUUAGAGCUUCUCUCAUUGAGUAAGAGCAACACGGUAUUUAAUCAGUUUCUGGUCAGCUGGCACAAGGCCUUGAAGUGGUUUGGGAGAGGGAAUGCAAACACUGCAUACCUGCUUCCAGCCUCUGCCCAAGAUGCACUCAGUCACACCAGUGCUACCACUGGGUUUGUUUCUGGGCUACAGCUUACACAGACGUGCAGUAUCUUUGCAUCCACCCUGGCACAGCAAUGCCCUCAGUUUAGCUCCUCAGUUCGUGGGAAACUUCUGAAGCCCGGUCACAUGCAAAUAAAUAUUCCCAGUGCAUAAGAGGGAGGAAAAAGAGAGAGAGAGAGGGAAGAGUUAAGGCAAAGGCUUAACUGGCUGCAAAUGGCAGAAGUGAACCAGCACUGCGUUGUCUGGAUUUUUCUAUCAAUCUUGUUGUUGCUUUUGCUUUCCUUAAUGCUUCAGCUUUAUGAAGAUCAGUGUUUAUUUAUUACUAUUUAAAUAAUUUUUUAAUAUUUUCUAACUCAAUAUUUUGAUGGGAAAUAGAUGCUAGUUUAAUUUCUAAUUUUAUUUAUUGGAAUAGAGAUACACAAACAUUGAGCAAUUACACAUUUUUGUGCCUAUGUAUUUUUCUUUUAGCUGAGCACCUGAUGGAGGAAAAAACCAAACUAUGAAAGAUGUAAAUAAAAGUUCUUUUCUUCGUCCCUUCUUGCAAAUU